GUUGUGUUGUGGUUCACCAGUGUUUCCACUUUGAAGGAAAUUGCCUGAAAUCUGGGAAAUUCUGGUUGUUUUCGGGUAAUUUUAGGGAAAUAAAAUAAUUUUGGGAAGUUUCGGGAAAUUUCCCGUCCCGGUAAGCCUUCCCCAACUGCGCAUGUGCGACUGUCGCCCCAACUGCCCACGCACGGAUACAGGGCCCACUGCGCACGUGC